rnacentral:lncRNA from 1 species
AAGGCUGUUAGGGUUUAUCGUUUGGAUUUCUGACUUUUGGGGGUGUGACUUUUCCCCUGUAUUUCUUUGGGCUCUGAUUUCAGAUGGCUGGUGACCAGAUGACAAGAAUCUAAUGUUUUGCUUGUGGAUAUUCUUGAACCUUGUGCCUGCUCCUGGCUCCUUUACCAGUGGGAAGUUUGGGAGGCAGAAAAGGGAAGAGAAAUGCAGACCAGUUUGCACUGGGGCAUCUGUGGUCAUCUUGUGGGGUGUUUUGGCAAUAAGGAGGACUGGCUUUUUCAUCACGACUAGAAGAGAUUUGCUGGAGAACCUCAGCCGGAUGGAGAGUUCCAGAGCUCCAAAGGGGAAGCAGAAAGAAAAUCUCUUGCAUUUCAGGAUGAUAAUAAUAGCAGUAGCAGAACCCAGGAAGAGUGAAGAAUCUUGCCAGGCAGGAGCAGCACGUGUAUGAGAGCAACACACUCUGCCUUCCAAGCCCAUCCAAGGUUUGGAUGCCACGUGCAUUCUGGAGAAAACAGAGCUUUCUGAAUGAUUUAUGUUGGAAUUUGAUGGAACCAAGUGAUCCUAGGCCAUGCCAGGAUCAAGAUGGCCCACCAAGAGAAGGUAUCAGCUGGGUCCUGCCUACAGUUAUGUCAAACAAAGUGUGCUGCGAAGUGCCAACUCUCCCUUUGUGCUGUGACACCGAGAGCUGCCAAAAGAUAUUAAAAAGCUUGCAUGAACUAGGUGAUGGCAGCUGUAACUAUCUAAGUUAUUGCCUGGCAGCUGCAGCGCUGCCUCACUGCUGCUGGCCGCCUUUAGAGUUGGUUCUCCAUUUGUUUGCCCUUUCUCUAGCAACCGAGAGCACCAAGCCUGCAGUGGGCAAGUGGCCGCCCCAGCCCCCUCGCGCCUGCGGUCGGGAGGCUUGUGGCGUCCACUGCCACCACCACCACCACCGCCGCCACCACCACCGAGGACACACACACACCCUGGCGCAUGCAGCUCCUGGGAGAAGUUGUGUUUCUCUUGGCCUGGCCCCAAGCCCUCGUUUGCACCGGUCAGCUCCACUUUAAGGAGCCUUGGACCAGUGGAUGCUCAGAGCGAGCAUGCACACCCAGGCGCACACACCAAAUGCAGCUUUUUGUGUUUGUGUGUGUGGCUUUUUUUUUCCCCUUCCCUGUUGGCUCCGAGUGAGCUAGAACAAUAUCGCCAGCUCCAAGCCCUGCCAGUCCUACAUCUGCUCCCUAAAACCUCCAGCAAAUAAGAAUACGGUGGGGUUGUUUAACCAACACUUACAAUAUACACACUUUUCAGCUCCUCUCCCCCUGGGUGGCCCAGGCUCAGAGAUCUGGAUGCUGGUGGCAAAGGGUUGAGAGAUAAGGGGCUAAUGAUCCCUGUGGGCAUCUGUCUCUGAAGCCUCCUUCUCUGGCACGUUGAUCUGUGGCAUAAAAUACAUUUCAUUGUCAUGGGCUUCGGGGAAGGUGUCUGUACC